GUAUCUGUGUGCUUAAUCACCCUAGACAGCUUUUGCCUUUUUUUUUUUUUCCUUGCUUGAAUUUGUGGAAUCACUCUGAUUGGAUGCAGGCUAUCAAUAGCUCUCCAUCAGAGGUCCCACAGCAGAAAGGAUUGCUUCCUUCUAUUGCUCUACCCUGAUACCCGAUACUUUCACUUGAUGGUGCUCAUUUCUUGUAUUAAAUGCCAAAUACUAAUUUUCUGGUCACUUUCUUUGUGGCAUUAAUGAUUAAAUGGACCUCUUUCUCUCAAAGGAGCUGACCACAGUUGCCCUUAUUUUCCUGGAUUCACUUUAUGGCCAAAAGCAUGGGAUGGCGAUUUCCUUCAGUCCUGGAGAUAAAUGAUGCUUUCUGGAGGCAGAGCACUGAGGAUUACUUUUACAGAAAUACAGCACACAAAGUAAAUCCUUGUUAGCGUGUCAUUAUUUGAGCAAGUC
rnacentral:lncRNA from 1 species